GGAAAGACUCCCCUAGAAGCAGGGAUUGUGCAGACCCAUCUCCACAUGCCUUGGGCAGCGCUGCUUCGGAAGCUUUCCUUGCUGUCAGUGCUGGAGUAGGAAAGCUGGUAAGCUGUGAGGAAAUAGGGCAUGUCUGAAACUGAGGAAUUCCACGGGAAAUUUACAAUAUUAUGUUAAAGGGGAAAAAAAAAAGCCAAGAGGGAGGAAGAAAAACCUGAUACAAUGAAUGCUUGGGUCAUGUAUUUUUCUGGAUUAGCUGUGCCACGGAAGGAGCCCAUAGACCCUAUGAAAUCCAUUCCCUGCAAGCCAGCGAACAUUUGUACAGCACAUGAUGUGGGAUCAUGGCUGAAGCCAAGUUCCCCAGGAUCAUAUCCACCCGGGAUAGAUUGGGUCAUUUCCAGUGUCAACAGCCAGAGGAUUAAGCAUUUAUCUCUGCAGAACAGGAUAAUUAAUACCAGAUCGAACUCGGGGCUGUGCUCUGAGCCCGUGGCUGAAUUUGUGCCCGAGUUGUGGGGAGUGGGAGGAUGUCCUGGGUGCUGCAAGAUGCAGGCAUUGCCUCGAGAUCCACGGGAAUGGCACUGGGAUGGCAUCAGGCUUCCCAGGUGAAGCUGAGGGGGAGCUCUGCUGUCGUGGCCACACGAGAUGAGUGUUCUCACCUCCGAGACUGCAGAGUGCAUCGAUGCACCAGUCCUCGUCUUGUGCACAUCGUAAAACCACAAAGGAUCAAGGCAGUGUCAGAGCAUCAAGAGAGAGAAGCUCCCGCUGGGAAGAUGUUGCAGAUCCUGCAGUCAUCCUGCUCUGCAACCUCUCUUGUUUGGGCAGAAGCUAAUGGAGAAUCGUCAAAAAUGGUGUUUCUGAGUUCUCGCUGCUGUGAUGUGGAUGUGAAGAAAGUCAGGACACUGCAAAAGUAGAUCAGAUCAGGCAAUGAGUUCUCCCCAGCUCAUCUCACAAUCCUGGACUUCCUUUGAGUACAAAUCCAGCACCUUUCACCAGCAAUAAAAAUCACACAUUUUUCUACUUUAGCUUAGUUUUGAAAAAAAAAAAAAAAAUCAAAAAAGCACAAAAUAAACUCUCCCUGGCAGAAUCCACCAGCUGUCCUGUAACUGCAUUUCAUUGUGAAACAGCUUUUCCUCAUCAGAGCUGUGCCCUGGAUGCCAUUUCUGGCUGGAGUGGGCUGCAGAAAGACACCAGUGCCUGAGCUGGGCUGGGCUGGGCUCAGGGGCUGUGUGACCACGCUCUGUGGCAAGCGGAGGGGUACAAACUCAGGGAGAGAAACACGUGAGGAAACGCAGGUCAGAAGAGUCCCCGAGCUCCAAGUACAGUCAUUUCCAGCCUGAAAAACCGCCUGGGCCUGGCUCUGACUUGCUUUUUGGUGAUGCUCUCUCUGGAGCUGGAAGGCAGGACUGUGCUUGGGGCCUUCAGCCCGGCUUUUGGGGGCUCCAGGGGUGUUUUCUCUCACCCCAUGAGGUCAGGUAUUACUCGUUAAAAGCUAUUACAGAACGCUGUGGUGCUGGUGCUCUAGUUAGCCUCCAAGGCUCAUUUCCAGCAGAGUUGGGGACGUUCUUGUUGCUGAACUGGGCUUGUUUUGCCAGGUUUUGCAAGUCCAAAGUAUUUUGCUGAAGCAAAACUUCUUUCUCAAGACAUUUUCCAGGAUGUUGUCGUUCCUGGCACUAUAAGAUGAAACCAUCUUAGGAGUGAACCAGACACUUUGGAUGCAUUUUAGUGAUGACUAAACUCAUGUGACUCAGUUCAACUCGAGCAGAGGGUAUCUCACAGAACUGUAGAAUCAUGAAAUGGUUUGGCUUGGAAAAGACCUUAAAGAUCAUCUUGUUCCACCCCCUGCCAUGGGCAGCUUCCACUAUCCCAGCUUGCUCCAAGCCCUGUCCAACCUGGCCUUGGACACUGCCAAGGGAUG
rnacentral:lncRNA from 13 species